GAUGAAGAACGUAGCGAAAUGCGAUAAGUAAUGCGAAUUGCAGAAUUUCCGUGAGUCAUCGAAUCUUCGAACGCACAUUGCGCCCACUGGUAUUCCGGUGGGCAUGCCUGUUCGAGCGUCAUUAUCCUCCCUCAAACCCCGGGUUUGGUGUUGGACCCAAGUUGUGUGAACAACUGGUCUCAAAGACAAUGACGGCGUCCGUGGGACCCUCGGUGCAACGAGCUUUUAGGAGCACGCAUCGAGUUGCAAGGACCUUCCGGGCCGGUCUCCUUUACCAUUUUACAAGGUUGACCUCGGAUCAGGUAGGAAUACCCGCUGAACUUAAGCAUAUCAAUAAGCGGAGGA
rnacentral:misc_RNA from 1 species